UACGGGGGGGACAAGCGUUGUUCGGAAUUACUGGGCGUAAAGCGUGCGCAGGCGGUUUGUUAAGUCCGUUGUGAAAGCCCCGAGCUCAACUUGGGAAUUGCAGUGGAUACUGGCAGGCUGGAGUACGGUAGAGGAAGGUGGAAUUCCCGGUGUAGCAGUGAAAUGCGUAGAUAUCGGGAGGAACACCAGUGGCGAAGGCGGCCUUCUGGACCAGUACUGACGCUCAUGCACGAAAGCGUGGGGAGCAAACAGG
rnacentral:rRNA from 1 species